GGGCGGUUGGCGCAGCUGGUUAGCGCGUCUGAUUUACAUUCAGAAGGUUCGCAGGUUCGAAUCCUGCACCGCCCACCA
rnacentral:tRNA from 1 species